AUGAAGCAGCUCCACCGCCAGCCCAGCCUCAGCAAGCAGCACCGCCCGCACCACCGCGCCUCCCUCUCCCGCUCCCUCGCCUCCUACCUCCUCCGCGAGCACCGCCUCCUCUUCGUCCUCCUCGGCUUCCUCCUCGCCUCCUCCUUCUUCCUCCUCUACCCCGCCCUCGCCCCGCACCCUAUCUCCCUCUCCUCCGCCGCAUACGCUGCCACCGCCACUUCUGCCAUCAGAAACCCCCGCGUCUUCUCCUUCUCCACCGCCAACGCGUCGCCGCGCCGCCUCCCCGUCGGCGUCCGCAAAAAGCCCCUGCGGGUGGUUGUCACCGGCGGCGCCGGCUUCGUCGGCAGCCACCUCGUGGACAAGCUCCUCGCCCGCGGGGACAGCGUCAUCGUCGUCGACAACUUCUUCACGGGCCGCAAGGAAAACGUCGCGCACCACCUCGCCAACCCUCGCUUCGAGCUCAUCCGCCACGAUGUCGUCGAGCCCAUCCUCCUCGAGGUCGACCAGAUCUACCACCUCGCCUGCCCCGCCUCCCCCGUCCACUACAAAUUCAACCCAAUCAAGACCAUCAAGACAAAUGUGAUGGGGACGUUGAACAUGCUGGGACUGGCGAAGAGGGUCGGUGCCCGGUUCUUGCUCACCAGUACCAGUGAGGUGUAUGGUGAUCCUCUAGAGCAUCCUCAGAAGGAGAGUUACUGGGGCCAUGUCAAUCCCAUAGGUGUAAGGAGUUGUUACGACGAGGGAAAGAGAACAGCAGAAACUCUGACCAUGGAUUACCAUCGUGGUGCUGGCGUUGAGGUUAGAAUUGCUCGCAUAUUCAACACGUACGGCCCUCGUAUGUGUUUAGAUGAUGGCCGGGUUGUUAGCAACUUUGUUGCACAGACUUUGCGAGAGCAGCCAAUGACGGUUUAUGGUGAUGGAAAGCAAACAAGAAGCUUUCAAUAUGUUUCAGAUUUGGUUGAUGGGUUGAUAACUCUGAUGGAAAAUAAGUACAUUGGACCUUUCAACUUGGGAAACCCUGGGGAGUUUACCAUGUUGGAGCUUGCUCAGGUAGUGAAAGAGACAAUUGACCCAAGUGCGCGUGUUGAAUUUAAACCCAACACCGCCGAUGAUCCGCACAUGAGAAAACCUGACAUCUCAAAGGCCAAAUCUCUUCUCAAUUGGGAGCCAAAAGUCUCUCUGAAGCAAGGCCUGCCACGCAUGGUUUCGGACUUCCAGAAACGCAUCUUGGAUGAGAAAUGA
rnacentral:rRNA from 1 species